CAUUUUGUUUUUGCGAUUCUAUUACGUAUGGCUCAAUUUUCUAUGCCGAUUUUAGGUUUAUCCUACUUUGCUUCGUUAACCCUCUGAGGGCUCUGUCAACAAAGAUGCUGUGCUUGCAAGAGUUGCAACAGAGAAGAGGAUGUCAAUGAUCAAAGCUUGGGAAGAAAGUGAGAAAUCAAGAGCAGAGAACAAGAAGCUAACGAAAACUUGGAUGAAGUGGUAGCUCUUGCUAAAGACCUUCGUCAAAGAAUAGUGGAGAAUCUUACAAGAAACACUACCCUCCAUACCUGAAUGAUGAUAUAUGGCGUUUGGAGAAAAUUGCAAAGGAUGGAAAAAUCCACAAGCGGGUCUCUUCCCAUGGAAUUCACACUGUUAAGGAUCUCCUACAACUAUACACAACCGAACCAUCUUCAUUAUAUGUGGCGGAGAGAAAGCACAACUGUACAGAUGUUGAAGACUUGUUCAUAGCUCACAUUGUUGAAAUGGACACAAUGGCUCGUGGAUUCAAGAAUGCUGCUAAGUUAAUUGAGGUUAGUGUUGAGCAUCAUAGUCAGCCCUUAACAUGAUUUUGAUAUCUGCAGGAAAGAGCAACUCAACAG